UACGGGGGGGGCAAGCGUUGUUCGGAAUUACUGGGCGUAAAGGGUUCGUAGGUGGCUCGCUAAGUCAGACGUGAAAUCCCUCAGCUUAACUGGGGAACUGCGUCUGAGACUGGCAAGCUCGAGUGCAGGAGAGGAACGCGGAAUUCCAGGUGUAGCGGUGAAAUGCGUAGAUAUCUGGAGGAACACCGGUGGCGAAGGCGGCGUUCUGGACUGCAACUGACACUGAGGAACGAAAGCCAGGGGAGCAAACGGG
rnacentral:rRNA from 1 species